rnacentral:rRNA from 1 species
UCCACAGCCAUAUCACCCUGCAGCCCAAGACUGGUUGCCCACUGAAGCUAAACAGGGCUGAGCCUGGUCAGUACCUGGAUGGGAGACCUCCUGGGAAAACUAGGUUGCUGCUGGAA